GAUGAACGCUGGCGGCGUGCCUAAUACAUGCAAGUCGAGCGAACAGACGAGGAGCUUGCUCCUCUGACGUUAGCGGCGGACGGGUGAGUAACACGUGGAUAACCUACCUAUAAGACUGGGAUAACUUCGGGAAACCGGAGCUAAUACCGGAUAAUAUUUUGAACCGCAUGGUUCAAUAGUGAAAGACGGUCUUGCUGUCACUUAUAGAUGGAUCCGCGCCGCAUUAGCUAGUUGGUAAGGUAACGACUUACCAAGGCAACGAUGCGUAGCCGACCUGAGAGGGUGAUCGGCCACACUGGAACUGAGACACGGUCCAGACUCCUACGGGAGGCAGCAGUAGGGAAUCUUCCGCAAUGGGCGAAAGCCUGACGGAGCAACGCCGCGUGAGUGAUGAAGGUCUUCGGAUCGUAAAACUCUGUUAUUAGGGAAGAACAAAUGUGUAAGUAACUAUGCACGUCUUGACGGUACCUAAUCAGAAAGCCACGGCUAACUACGUG
rnacentral:rRNA from 1 species